GUGCCAGCAGCCGCGGUAAGACGAACCGUGCGAACGUUGUUCGGAAUCACUGGGCUUAAAGGGCGCGUAGGCGGGCUGUCAAGUCUGGGGUGAAAUGCCGCGGCUCAACCGUGGAACUGCCUUAGAUACUGACGGCCUCGAGGAAGGUAGGGGCAUGCGGAACUGUAGGUGGAGCGGUGAAAUGCGUUGAUAUCUACAGGAACUCCGGUGGCGAAAGCGGCGUGCUGGACCUUUUCUGACGCUGAGGCGCGAAAGCUAGGGGAGCAAACGGGAUUAGAAACCCCCGUAGUCC
rnacentral:rRNA from 1 species